GCAUGGGCGAAAGCCUGAUCCAGCCAUUCCGCGUGCAGGAUGAAGGCCCUCGGGUUGUAAACUGCUUUUGUACGGAACGAAAAAGCUCCGGCUAAUACCUGGAGUCCAUGACGGUACCGUAAGAAUAAGCACCGGCUAACUACGUGCCAGCAGCCGCGGUAAUACGUAGGGUGCAAGCGUUAAUCGGAAUUACUGGGCGUAAAGCGUGCGCAGGCGGUUUUGUAAGACAGAGGUGAAAUCCCCGGGCUCAACCUGGGAACUGCCUUUGUGACUGCAAGGCUGGAGUGCGGCAGAGGGGGAUGGAAUUCCGCGUGUAGCAGUGAAAUGCGUAGAUAUGCGGAGGAACACCGAUGGCGAAGGCAAUCCCCUGGGCCUGCACUGACGCUCAUGCACGAAAGCGUGGGGAGCAAACAGGAUUAGAUACCCUGGUAGUCCACGCCCUAAACUAUGUCAACUGGUUGUUGGGAAUUCAUUUUCUCAGUAACGAAGCUAACGCGUGAAGUUGACCGCCUGGGGAGUACGGCCGC
rnacentral:rRNA from 1 species